rnacentral:rRNA from 1 species
GACGAACGCUGGCGGCGUGCCUAACACAUGCAAGUCGAACGGAAAGGCCCUGCUUUUGUGGGGUGCUCGAGUGGCGAACGGGUGAGUAACACGUGUGUAACCUGUCCUUGACUUUGGGAUAACUUCAGGAAACUGGGGCUAAUAUCGGAUAGGAGCUCUUGCUGCAUGGUGGGGGUUGGAAAGUUUCGGCGGUUGGGGAUGGACUCGCGGCUUAUCAGCUUGUUGGUGGGGUAGUGGCUUACCAAGGCUUUGAGGGGUAGCCGGCCUGGGCGGGUAGCCGGACACAUUAGGACUGCGAUACGGCCCAGACUCGUACGGGACGCAGCGGUGGAGAGUAUUACACAAUGGGCGGAAGCCAGAUGCGGCAGCGCCGCGUGCGGGAUGACGGGCUUCGGGUUGUGAACCACUUUCGCCUGUGACGAGGCGUGAGUGACGGUAAUGGGUAAAGAAGCCCCGGCUAACUACGUG